GUGGGGAAUAUUGGGCAAUGGGGGAAACCCUGACCCAGCGACGCCGCGUGAGGGAAGAAGGCCUUAGGGUCGUAAACCUCUGUUGUGUGGGAAGAAGAGCGUGACGGUACCACACGAGGAAGUCCCGGCUAACUACGUGCCAGCAGCCGCGGUAAUACGUAGGGGACGAGCGUUGUCCGGAUUUACUGGGCGUAAAGGGCGCGUAGGCGGUCAUUUAAGUCAGCUGUGAAAUGGUGCGGCUUAACCGCAUCAUGCGGUUGAAACUGGAUGACUGGAGUGCUGGAGAUGCAAGUGGAAUUCCCAGUGUAGCGGUGAAAUGCGUAGAUAUUGGGAAGAACACCGGUGGCGAAGGCGACUUGCUGGCCAGCAACUGACGCUGAGGCGCGAAAGCCAGGGGAGCAAACGGGAUUAGAAACCUUGGUAGUCC
rnacentral:rRNA from 1 species